ACACGUAGGUGGCGAGCGUUAUUCGGAUUUACUGGGCGUAAAGGGUCCUCAGGGGGUCUGCCAAGUCUGGUGUGAAAUCCCGCAGCUCAACUGCGGACGUGCAUUGGAAACUGGCGGACUUGAGUACACGAAGGGAGAGCGGAAUUCCUGGUGUAGCGGUGGAAUGCGUAGAUAUCAGGAAGAACACCGGUGGCGAAGGCGGCUCUCUGGCGUGUCACAGACCCUCACGGACGAAAGCGUGGGUAGCGAACAGGAUUAGAUACCCUGGUAGUCCACGCUGUAAACGUUGUGCACUAGAUGUGGGAGAUACUUCGGUGUUUUCCGUGUCCAUGUUAACGCGAUAAGUGCACCGCCUGGGGACUACGGUCGCAAGACUAAA
rnacentral:rRNA from 1 species